rnacentral:rRNA from 1 species
GAAUAUUGGACAAUGGGGGCAACCCUGAUCCAGCCAUGCCGCGUGUGUGAAGAAGGCUUUCGGGUUGUAAAGCACUUUCAGUGAGGAGGAAAGCCUUAUGGCCAAUACCCAUGAGGCUUGACGUUACUCACAGAAGAAGCACCGGCUAACUCCGUGCUAGCAGCCGCGGUAAUACGGAGGGUGCAAGCGUUACGCGGAAUUACUGGGCGUAAAGCGAGCGUAGGUGGUUUGAUAAGCGAGAUGUGAAAGCCCCGGGCUUAACCUGGGAACGGCAUUUCGAACUGUCAGGCUAGAGUAUGGUAGAGGAGUGUGGAAUUUCCUGUGUAGCGGUGAAAUGCGUAGAUAUAGGAAGGAACACCAGUGGCGAAGGCGGCACUCUGGACCAAUACUGACACUGAGGUGCGAAAGCGUGGGGAGCAAACAGG